rnacentral:misc_RNA from 1 species
GAAAGUGCCUGUGACUGAUGGUAACGCGAAAGCAAAAAUCCCAAUACAAACCAGAAGUUUCCUUUCUUCCUUCCUAAACCAGAUAAUCUCUCUCUCCUUCCCCUUCACCUCUACAAGCUGCCUGCAUCGAACGUUAGGGUUUUCUAGAAGAGGAGCCUCUUCUGGUUCUUCUUCUUGUUUGAAAUUCUCAUUGAUCUGCCUCUUCUGAUCUCUUAAAUUUGUGCUUUCAAAAUGUACGGAUUCGAAGCCCUAACUUUCAACAUUCACGGUGGCUAUCUGGAGGCCAUCGUCAGGGGACACAGAUCAGGCCUUCU